rnacentral:rRNA from 1 species
GCUUGCUAUGGUAUAACUUAGUGGACGAAACGGGUGAGUAAUGUAUAGGAAUCUACCUAGUAGUACGGAACAAUUGUUAGGAAACGGCAACUAAUACCGUAUACCGCCCGUACGGGGGAAAGAUUUAUUGCUAUUAGAUGAGCCUAUAUUAGAUUAGCUAGUUGGUGGGGUAAUGGCCUACCAAGGCAGUGAUCUAUAGCUGAUCUGAGAGGAUGAUCAGCCACACUGGAACUGAGAUACGGUCCAG